GCUCUUCCAUAAAGACUGUUCCGCCACUAUAUUGGCCUUGCCGGUUUUCGGAUCGGCUAUGGCGAUAAACGAGCGAUGUAAUAAACCUAUCGGACCCGGGGGCAGUACCCGGCGCCUCCACCACGAACCGCCCGGCGGCGAAUAUGUCAGGGCGGCUGGUGUUGGGGGCGAAACAGGAUCGACGAGGGUGUAAAGAUCGACUUUUUGCCCGGCAUGAUACCACCGUCAUCGGGUCGAACCUAUAGUUGCAAACGACAACUAUGCUGAGGCACGUCUCGCUGCGUAAGCAGUGCGAUAGUCUCGAAUUGAAGUCCUGAGGGUUAGCACUUUCAGGCGGGGCCCGGAGGCGCCUGGCAACAGAAGCCUCCACU
rnacentral:tmRNA from 1 species